UGUUUGAUGUUCUAACGUGGACCCGUGAUCCGGGUUGCGGACAGUGUCUGGUGGGUAGUUUGACUGGGGCGGUCUCCUCCUAAAGAGUAACGGAGGAGCACGAAGGUUGGCUAAUCCUGGUCGGACAUCAGGAGGUUAGUGCAAUGGCAUAAGCCAGCUUGACUGCGAGCGUGACGGCGCGAGCAGGUGCGAAAGCAGGUCAUAGUGAUCCGGUGGUUCUGAAUGGAAGGGCCAUCGCUCAACGGAUAAAAGGUACUCCGGGGAUAACAGGCUGAUACCGCCCAAGAGUUCAUAUCGACGGCGGUGUUUGGCACCUCGAUGUCGGCUCAUCACAUCCUGGGGCUGAAGUAGGUCCCAAGGGUAUGGCUGUUCGCCAUUUAAAGUGGUACGCGAGCUGGGUUUAGAACGUCGUGAGACAGUUCGGUCCCUAUCUGCCGUGGGCGCUGGAGAACUGAGGGGGGCUGCUCCUAGUACGAGAGGACCGGAGUGGACGCAUCACUGGUGUUCGGGUUGUCAUGCCAAUGGCACUGCCCGGUAGCUAAAUGCGGAAGAGAUAAGUGCUGAAAGCAUCUAAGCACGAAACUUGCCCCGAGAUGAGUUCUCCCUGAGACUUAAAGUCUCCUGAAGGAACGUUGAAGACGACGACGUUGAUAGGCCGGGUGUGUAAGCGCAGCGAUG
rnacentral:rRNA from 1 species